UACAGAGGUGGCAAGCGUUGUUCGGAAUCACUGGGCGUAAAGCGUACGUAGGCGGCUCGGCAAGUCAGAGGUGAAAGCCCAGGGCUCAACCCUGGAUGUGCCUUUGAAACUGCUGAGCUUGAAUGCGGGAGAGGUGAGUGGAAUUCCGAGUGUAGAGGUGAAAUUCGUAGAUAUUCGGAAGAACACCAGUGGCGAAGGCGACUCACUGGACUGCUAUUGACGCUGAGGUACGAAAGCGUGGGGAGCAAACAGG
rnacentral:rRNA from 1 species